rnacentral:lncRNA from 1 species
AAUGACCCAAAAAAGAAAGAAAUAUACCAAAAAAAAAAGUAACAUACAUUGCAAAUAUAAGUGAUUAAGAAAGUACAUUCAGCAAAAGCAAAAGCAUUUCAACAUCAUAAACAACAAGAGCAGAAUAAUAUAAACCAAUUGAAAGGAAUCAAAUAGAUCUGUGUUGCAAGGGGAGACAGAACCCAAAUCAAUGGUUUCUACUUUCUAGGUGCACAAUUACUUUUAGUUUUUAGAAAAACCUUACCGAUAUUCCGAGAUCUAGCAGUCACUCUAACCCAACAUCAAAUUUGUUGGAAAAUUAUCGAAUAUAAUCACAAUCAUAUUGCAUUCCCAUUAUUUGGUUAUACAAACACAGCUAACCAACAGUAUUCCCAUUACAUUAUUCCAUCAACAUAAUUUUGCAGAUGUAAUGCUCAUGGCACAUGAAAUCUAUUUACUCAUGUUAUUUUGAUCGCAUUGAUCAAUUCAUCAUCCAUUGUCCCUUCUAUAACUGUUAUCACAAUAGCUGCCACCUCUGUGGCGCUGCCAUUGUACCAUUGCAUCUAACAUCAACACCUCGGAGGCUCACACCUUCACCAGCACAUCCAAAACCAGCACCAUAUCCCUACAGUUAGUACCACUGGCACAGUGACUGCCACCUCCAUUACAUUAUCUUAACACGGCCAUACUUCCACCUAAUAAACUAGUUUAAUGAAAAAGCAUAGCNNNN